rnacentral:rRNA from 1 species
GUGCCAGCCGCCGCGGUAAUACGGAGGGUGCAAGCGUUAAUCGGAAUUACUGGGCGUAAAGCGCACGCAGGCGGUUUGUUAAGUCAGAUGUGAAAUCCCCGCGCUUAACGUGGGAACUGCAUUUGAAACUGGCAAGCUAGAGUCUUGUAGAGGGGGGUAGAAUUCCAGGUGUAGCGGUGAAAUGCGUAGAGAUCUGGAGGAAUACCGGUGGCGAAGGCGGCCCCCUGGACAAAGACUGACGCUCAGGUGCGAAAGCGUGGGGAGCAAACAGGAUUAGAUACCCUGGUAGUCCACGCUGUAAACGAUGUCGACUUGGAGGUUGUGCCCUUGAGGCGUGGCUUCCGGAGCUAACGCGUUAAGUCGACCGCCUGGGGAGUACGGCCGCAAGGUUAAAACUCAAAUGAAUUGACGGGGGCCCGCACAAGCGGUGGAGCAUGUGGUUUAAUUCGAUGCAACGCGAAAGAACCUUACCUAACUCUUGACAUCCACGGAAUUCGCCAGGGAUGGCUUAGUGCCUUCGGGAACCGUGAGACAGGUGCUGCA